rnacentral:rRNA from 1 species
UUAAGUUAUUAAGGGCGCACGGUGGAUGCCUUGGCACUAGAAGCCGAUGAAGGACGUUACUAACGACGAUAUGCUUUGGGGAGCUGUAAGUAAGCUUUGAUCCAGAGAUUUCCGAAUGGGGAAACCCAGCAUGAGUUAUGUCAUGUUAUCGAUAUGUGAAUACAUAGCAUAUCAGAAGGCACACCCGGAGAACUGAAACAUCUUAGUACCCGGAGGAAGAGAAAGAAAAUUCGAUUCCCUUAGUAGCGGCGAGCGAAACGGGAAGAGCCCAAACCAACAAGCUUGCUUGUUGGGGUUGUAGGACACUCUAUACGGAGUUACAAAGGACGACAUUAGACGAAUCAUCUGGAAAGAUGAAUCAAAGAAGGUAAUAAUCCUGUAGUCGAAAAUGUUGUCUCUCUUGAGUGGAUCCUGAGUACGACGGAGCACGUGAAAUUCCGUUGGAAUCUGGGAGGACCAUCUCCUAAGGCUAAAUACUCUCUAGUGACCGAUAGUGAACCAGUACCGUGAGGGAAAGGUGAAAAGCACCCCGGAAGGGGAGUGAAAUAGAACCUGAAACCGUGUGCUUACAAGUAGUCAGAGCCCGUUAAUGGGUGAUGGCGUGCCUUUUGUAGAAUGAACCGGCGAGUUACGAUUUGAUGCAAGGUUAAGCAGUAAAUGUGGAGCCGUAGCGAAAGCGAGUCUGAAUAGGGCGUUUAGUAUUUGGUCGUAGACCCGAAACCAGGUGAUCUACCCUUGGUCAGGUUGAAGUUCAGGUAACACUGAAUGGAGGACCGAACCGACUUACGUUGAAAAGUGAGCGGAUGAACUGAGGGUAGCGGAGAAAUUCCAAUCGAACCUGGAGAUAGCUGGUUCUCUCCGAAAUAGCUUUAGGGCUAGCCUCAAGUGAUGAUUAUUGGAGGUAGAGCACUGUUUGGACGAGGGGCCCCUCUCGGGUUACCGAAUUCAGACAAACUCCGAAUGCCAAUUAAUUUAACUUGGGAGUCAGAACAUGGGUGAUAAGGUCCGUGUUCGAAAGGGAAACAGCCCAGACCACCAGCUAAGGUCCCAAAAUAUAUGUUAAGUGGAAAAGGAUGUGGCGUUGCCCAGACAACUAGGAUGUUGGCUUAGAAGCAGCCAUCAUUUAAAGAGUGCGUAAUAGCUCACUAGUCGAGUGACACUGCGCCGAAAAUGUACCGGGGCUAAACAUAUUACCGAAGCUGUGGAUUGUCCUUUGGACAAUGGUAGGAGAGCGUUCUAAGGGCGUUGAAGCAUGAUCGUAAGGACAUGUGGAGCGCUUAGAAGUGAGAAUGCCGGUGUGAGUAGCGAAAGACGGGUGAGAAUCCCGUCCACCGAUUGACUAAGGUUUCCAGAGGAAGGCUCGUCCGCUCUGGGUUAGUCGGGUCCUAAGCUGAGGCCGACAGGCGUAGGCGAUGGAUAACAGGUUGAUAUUCCUGUACCACCUAUAAUCGUUUUAAUCGAUGGGGGGACGCAGUAGGAUAGGCGAAGCGUGCGAUUGGAUUGCACGUCUAAGCAGUAAGGCUGAGUAUUAGGCAAAUCCGGUACUCAUUAAGGCUGAGCUGUGAUGGGGAGAAGACAUUGUGUCUUCGAGUCGUUGAUUUCACACUGCCGAGAAAAGCCUCUAGAUAGAAAAUAGGUGCCCGUACCGCAAACCGACACAGGUAGUCAAGAUGAGAAUUCUAAGGUGAGCGAGCGAACUCUCGUUAAGGAACUCGGCAAAAUGACCCCGUAACUUCGGGAGAAGGGGUGCUCUUUAGGGUUAACGCCCAGAAGAGCCGCAGUGAAUAGGCCCAAGCGACUGUUUAUCAAAAACACAGGUCUCUGCUAAACCGUAAGGUGAUGUAUAGGGGCUGACGCCUGCCCGGUGCUGGAAGGUUAAGAGGAGUGGUUAGCUUCUGCGAAGCUACGAAUCGAAGCCCCAGUAAACGGCGGCCGUAACUAUAACGGUCCUAAGGUAGCGAAAUUCCUUGUCGGGUAAGUUCCGACCCGCACGAAAGGCGUAACGAUUUGGGCACUGUCUCAACGAGAGACUCGGUGAAAUCAUAGUACCUGUGAAGAUGCAGGUUACCCGCGACAGGACGGAAAGACCCCGUGGAGCUUUACUGUAGCCUGAUAUUGAAAUUCGGCACAGCUUGUACAGGAUAGGUAGGAGCCUUUGAAACGUGAGCGCUAGCUUACGUGGAGGCGCUGGUGGGAUACUACC